UACGAAGGGGGCUAGCGUUGCUCGGAAUCACUGGGCGUAAAGCGCACGUAGGCGGCUUUCUAAGUCAGGGGUGAAAUCCUGGAGCUCAACUCCAGAACUGCCUUCGAUACUGGAGAGCUAGAGUCCGGAAGAGGUGAGUGGAACUGCGAGUGUAGAGGUGAAAUUCGUAGAUAUUCGCAAGAACACCCGUGGCGAAGGCGGCUCUCUGGGACGGUACUGACGCUGAGACGCGAAAGCGUGGGGAGCGAACAGG
rnacentral:rRNA from 1 species